rnacentral:rRNA from 1 species
AUAAAGAAAGUAAAAUAAGGGCACAUGGGGGAUGCCUUGGCUCUCAGAGGCGAUGAAGGACGUGAUAAGCUGCGAUAAGCUACGGGGAGGUGCAAAUAACCUUUGAUCCGUGGAUUUCCGAAUGGGGCAACCCAGCAGAGGAAGACUCUGUUACACUACUUAUGUAGUGAGCUAACGCGGGGAACUGAAACAUCUAAGUACCCGUAGGAACAGAAAAUAAUAAUGAUUCCCAAAGUAGUGGCGAGCGAAAUGGGACCAGCCCAAACCGGUAAUGUUUAGGCAUUACCGGGGUUGUAGGACUGCGCCGUGGCACGAAUUCAUAGAAGUAGAAGCCUUUGGAAAGAGGCAUCACAGAGGGUGAUAAUCCCGUAUACGAAUCUUUGACCAAGCCUAGCAGUAUCCUGAGUAGCGCGGGACACGAGAAAUCCUGUGUGAAUCAGCCGGGACCAUCCGGUAAGGCUAAAUACUCCUGAGAGACCGAUAGUGAACCAGUACCGUGAGGGAAAGGUGAAAAGCACCUCGAACAGAGGAGUGAAACAGACCCUGAAACCAUGUGCCUACAAGCGGUCGGAGCUGCAUUGCAGUGACGGCGUGCCUUUUGCAUAAUGAACCUACGAGUUACUCUUACUGGCAAGGUUAAGUGUAAGUAUACACCGAGCCGAAGCGAAAGCAAGUCUUAACAGGGCGGCUAGUCAGUAGGCGUAGACGCGAAACCAAGUGAUCUACCCUUGGGCAGGUUGAAGGUUAGGUAACACUAACUGGAGGACCGAACCGUUAAACGUUGAAAAGUUUUCGGAUGACCUGAGGGUAGGGGUGAAAGGCUAAUCAAACUUGGAGAUAGCUCGUACUCCCCGAAAUGCAUUUAGGUGCAGCCUCGGCUUAUAUUAUUGUGUCAGGUAGAGCGACUGAUUGGAUGCGAGGGCUUCGCCGCCUAUCAAGUCCAGAUAAACUCCGAAUGGGCACAAUAACUUUACCGGGAGUGAGGGCAUGGGUGCUAAGGUCCAUGUCCGAGAGGGAAAGAACCCAGACCAUCAGCUAAGGUCCCCAAAUACAUGUUCAGUUGAAUUAACGAAGUAUGACUACCAAGACAGCUAGGAUGUUGGCUUGGAAGCAGCCAUUCAUUUAAAGAGUGCGUAACAGCUCACUAGUCGAGUGGUCGUGCGUGGAUAAUAAUCGGGCAUAAACAUGUUACCGAAGCUAUGGGAUUAAAUAAAUCGGUAGGGGAGCAUUCUACUCGGCGUUGAAGGCGUACCGUCAGGUAUUCUGGAGCGUGUAGAAAAGCAAAUGUAGGUAUAAGUAACGAUAAAGGAGGUGAGAAACCUCCUCGCCGAAAGACUAAGGUUUCCUGAUCAACGCUAAUCGGAUCAGGGUAAGUCGGACCCUAAGGCUCAGCCGAACGGCGAUGCCGAUGGACGAACCGGUUAAUAUUCCGGUACUGUAUAUAUGAGUGAUGUGGGGACGCAGGAGUGACACUGCUGCCAUCUGACGGAUUAGAUGGUUAAAGGAAGUAGACGUUGACUGGGGUAGGCAAAUCCGCCCUGGGAGUUGAAACUGAUAGUACUACAAGCCUUCGGGUGCGUAGAUAAUGCAGGUAAUCCUACUGCCGAGAAAAACCGCUAAACGCUAAUCAUAUAUGCAACCGUACCACAAACGGACACACGUAGUCGGGUUGAAAAUACUAAGGCGCUCGAGCGAUUCACAGUUAAGGAAUUAGGCAAAAUGACCCUGUAACUUCGGGAUAAAGGGUGCCAUCAGCAAUGGUGGCCGCAGAGAAUAGGUCAAGGCAACUGUUUAUCAAAAACACAUGGCUAUGCAAAUAAGAAAUUAGAAGUAUAUAGUCUGACACCUGCCCGGUGCUGGAAGGUUAAGAGGAGAAGUCAUCGCAAGAGAAGCUUUGAAUUGAAGCCCCAGUAAACGGCGGCCGUAACUAUAACGGUCCUAAGGUAGCGAAAUUCCUUGUCGGGUAAGUUCCGACCUGCACGAAUGGUGUAAUGAUCUUGACACUGUCUCAACUGUGAUCUCGGUGAAAUUGUAGUAUCGGUGAAGAUGCCGAUUACCCGCGAUGGGACGAAAAGACCCCGUGAACCUUUACUAUAGCUUUACAUUGACGUUGGGCACUUGAUGUGUAGGAUAGGCCGGAGGCUAUGAAGCGGGUACGCCAGUACUUGUGGAGCCAUCCUUGAAAUACGGCCCUUUGAUUGUUUGACGUCUAACCUGCGGAUGCAGGGACAUUGUAUGGUGGGUAGUUUGACUGGGGUGGUCGCCUCCAAAAGAGUAACGGAGGCUUCUAAAGGUGUGCUCAGGACGAUUGGUAACCGUUCGUAGAGUGUAAUGGUAUAAGCACGCUUGACUGAGAGACCCACAAGUCGAUCAGGUAGGAAACUAGAGCAUAGUGAUCCGGUGGUUUCAGUAUGGAAUGGCCAUCGCUCAAAGGAUAAAAGGUACUCCGGGGAUAACAGGCUGAUCAUUCCCAAGAGCUCAUAUCGACGGAAUGGUUUGGCACCUCGAUGUCGGCUCGUCACAUCCUGGGGCUGGAGCAGGUCCCAAGGGUUGGGCUGUUCGCCCAUUAAAGUGGCACGCGAGCUGGGUUCAGAACGUCGUGAGACAGUUCGGUCUCUAUCUAUCGUGGGCGCUGGAUAUUUGCGGAGAUCUGACACUAGUACGAGAGGACCGUGUUGGACGCACCCCUGGUUCACCGGUUGUUCCGCCAGGAGCAUCGCCGGGUAGCUAAGUGCGGAUUGGAUAAGUGCUGAAAGCAUCUAAGUACGAAGCCAGCUUCAAGAUAAGAUAUCCUCACAAGGGUCGUUGUAGACUACAACGUUGAUAGGCUGCAGGUGUAAAGGCAGUAAUGUCAUAGCCGAGCAGUACUAAUUGCCCGAAAGCUUUCCA